CCCACCAAAUAAAUAAACAAAACAAUAAAAGACAACACCUACCAACUAAGAAAUAUCAAAAAACAAAAUUAGGAAAGUGGAAGUUGAAGAGUACUUGCAGGUGCAGCGCCUCUUCCUCGAUACAUCAUCAAAUCGGAGCUGAAACUCGACUUCAAUUCGGCGUAAUUGUAUACCCUUGAAAACCUUUGUUUUCUCCUCGUAGAUUUCAUGUGGAUCCAAGCUCGUGUAGGUUCUGUGGUAAGAGUAUUGUUGCUAAUCCAUCCAUUUAACCUCAGGUUGUGUAUGGAUUUCUGGGAUUUGCACUAUUGUACAGGUUGUGCAAAGUAUUCUGGACUUGAGCAACUUGUCAGGUACACAAUUGAGCCCAACCAAUUUUUCUCUCUUUUGGACUGAUCGUUCGAAAUUAUCAAUUUCGAAGUUAUUCUGCUAUGUGUAUUGUGAAAUAAUAAACCUACUAUAGAUGUUAAUUGACUGCUACAAUCUAUGAGUCCUGAUUUUAUACCAUAUGAAACACCCUAAACUCUCACCAGGUGCAUGGUAUAUCAACCAACUGAAAUUCAUUCAGACAUCAUAU